rnacentral:rRNA from 1 species
UACAGAGGUCUCAAGCGUUUGUUCGGAUUCAUUGGGCGUAAAGGGUGCGUAGGUGGCGGGGUAAGUCAGGUGUGAAAUCUCGGGGCUCAACCCCGAAACUGCACUUGAUACUGCCUUGCUCGAGUACUGGAGAGGAGAUUGGAAUUCACGGUGUAGCGGUGAAAUGCGUAGAUAUCGUGGAGAACACCCGUGGCGAAAGCGGGUUUCUGGCAGACUCCUGACGCUGAGGCGCGAAGCUAGGGGAGCAAACGGG